rnacentral:sRNA from 1 species
UUAUCGCCCGAUCAUCCCGCCGGCUCUGCCAGUGAUAAACGGUUCUGCUCUGCAUCAGCAGUCCGCAUCCCCGCCGGACACUGAUACGGUAAGCCUCCCGCAGAAAAUGCACCGCCUGACGUUUCAGACGCUGAUUUU